rnacentral:rRNA from 1 species
AGGACGAACGCUGGCGGCGUGCCUAACACAUGCAAGUCGAGCGAGAUCCAUCCAGUGGCAACACUGGUGAAGAUCUAGCGGCGAACGGGUGAGUAACACGUGAGAAACCUGCCCCGGAGACCGGGAUAACUCGAGGAAACUCGAGCUAAUACCGGAUACCCCCACCGAACCGCAUGAUUUGGUGAGGAAAUGCUCCGACGCUCCGGGAGGGUCUCGCGGCCUAUCAGCUGGUUGGUGAGGUAACGGCUCACCAAGGCUAAGACGGGUAGCUGGUCUGAGAGGACGAUCAGCCACACUGGGACUGAGACACGGCCCAGACUCCUACGGGAGGCAGCAGUGGGGAAUCUUGCGCAAUGGGCGAAAGCCUGACGCAGCAACGCCGCGUGGGGAUGAAGGCUCUCGGGUUGUAAACCCCUUUCAGGAGGGACGAAAAUGACGGUACCUCCAGAAGAAGCCCGGCCAACUACGUGCCAGCAGCCGC